rnacentral:rRNA from 1 species
UUAGAGUUUGAUCAUGGCUCAGAUUGAACGCUGGCGGCAUGCUUUACACAUGCAAGUCGAGCGGCAGCGCGGGACUCGGGCAACCGAGCCCUGGCGGCGAGCGGCGAACGGGUGAGUAAUGCAUCGGAACGUGUCCCGUAAUGGGGGAUAACGCCGCGAAAGCGGCGCUAAUACCGCAUACGCUCUGAGGAGGAAAGUGGGGGACUUCGCAAGGAGCCUCACGUUAGGGGAGCGGCCGAUGUCCGAUUAGCUAGUUGGUGGGGUAAUGGCUUACCAAGGCUUCGAUCGGUAGCUGGUCUGAGAGGAUGAUCAGCCACACUGGGACUGAGACACGGCCCAGACUCCUACGGGAGGCAGCAGUGGGGAAUUUUGGACAAUGGGGGCAACCCUGAUCCAGCCAUGCCGCGUGCGGGAAGAAGGCCUUCGGGUUGUAAACCGCUUUUAGCCGGGAAGAAAAGGCCAUCCCUAACAGGGGUGGUUUUUGACGGUACCGGCGGAAUAAGCACCGGCUAACUACGUGCCAGCAGCCGCGGUACCCA